GACCACUCCGGGGUCCCCGAAUUUUAGGCAGACUUGGCAGGUACCCGUUACCCCUCCACUGGUCACCACUCCCCGGGGGUGGAGGUGCCAGCCUGCUGCCACUAAGGGAAGAACCUCUGGCUUCUUCUGGUAGCAGAUGGAUCUUGGUCUCCUUGGUGGUCUGGCCGUCGGCCAGGACAGGUGGAUGCCGAUGGUCUGAGGGUUGCAGGGGGCUGUGGCGGGUUUGCCUGGCUCCACGUUAAGUGCUUCCCGCAUUCUCCCAUUCACCCCCUUGACAGUCCACUGCGUGAUGUCAGCCUCCGUUUUAUGCCUUUUAAUGACUCUCCAAGGUCUCUGGGACCAGCCGAGUCCUCCAUCUUCAUUCUUGUCCUGGAGACCACUUCCCCACGCUGUCCCCUAGGAGGACGAGUGGCUCAGAGACACAGUUCCUGCCUUUGGGAAUCUACAUCCAGCUGAGGAGACACAGGUUAAAAGUCCAGGAGGCAAGAAGACACUUAAAGGGGUACCGUGGCCACCCCGGCCCCCGCAGGCUGGACAGGAGUGUGGAGCCAAGGAGGCAACCCCAGUGGCCAGAGGAGGCUCCCCAUUGCCUUCCCUGUGGGUGGGGACCGCGGGCAGAGGCUGGGAGAGCCAUGCUCCAGAGGUCCAGGCCCUUGGCCACUUUCCCAGGGCUGUCCGAGCCUCAUGCCUCGGAACCUUCCCGCCUGUGUCUCUGUCAGGCACUCCUUGCGUGCAUGGCACUGUGCAGGCAGCUCUCACCUGCAGGGGCAUCUGGAGCAGCUUUGAGAGAAGAGGGCAGGCCACCCACUGGCCGACCAGCUGAAUCCACUCGGGUUUGUUUAGAGCUUCCAGGUGAUUCUGAGAUGUAGCCACGUUUGAGAAGCGCUGGGCCAGAUACCAGGCAGUUUUUCAGGCUAGGAGUGGGGAAUGUGCCCUUCGAAUGAAGGGUUCCGCUGCCCCCAGAGACCCCCAAGGCUGGGGUCUCUGCCUUGUUCGUAAUCCAGACCAGGGGACUCCAUGGCCACAGGACAGAAAGUCCUGCUGAACGAGGGAUCCCCUGGGGGAAUAUGGCCAGCACUGCUGGGACAACAGAAGAGGCUGGGCUUGUGACGACUCCUGAAGACGAGACAGAUGCACAGCGCACACCAUCCAGCAUCAAACUCUGUGCUGUGGGCUACAGA
ensembl:lncRNA